UUUUUUUGUCAAAGAUAUAGAACGACAACUAAGAGCAAGAUUUUAUCGUGAUGAUAACAAAAGAAAGUUGGCCAAGGAUAUAGAACCACGACCAAAUGUUUCAUUUUAUCCAGAUGACACCAAAACAAAGCUCUUCGCUGAAGAUUUAGAACCACGACCAAAUGUCUCAUUUUAUCCCGAUGACGAAACCAAAACAAAGCUCUUCGCUGAAGAUGUAGAACCACGACCAAAUCUCUCAUUUUAUCCCGAUGACGAAACCAAAACAAAACUUUUUGCUGAAGAUGUAGAACCACGGCCAAAUGUCUCAUUUUAUCCCGAUGAUGACACUAAAACAAAGCUUUUUGUUGAAGAUGUAGAACCACGACCAAAUGUUUCAUUCUAUCCUGAUGACGAAACCAAAACAAAACUUUUUGCUGAAGAUGUAGAACCACGACCAAAUUCCUUCUUUUAUCCUGAUGAUGACAUUAAAACAAAGCUUUUGGUUCAAGAAAUAGAGCCUCGACCAAAUGUUUCAUUUUAUCCAGAC
rnacentral:lncRNA from 1 species